CCUACGGGAGGCAGCAGUGGGGAAUAUUGGACAAUGGGCGAAAGCCUGAUCCAGCAAUGCCGCGUGAGUGAUGAAGGCCUUAGGGUUGUAAAGCUCUUUUACCAGGGAUGAUAAUGACAGUACCUGGAGAAUAAGCUCCGGCUAACUCCGUGCCAGCAGCCGCGGUAAUACGGAGGGAGCUAGCGUUGUUCGGAAUUACUGGGCGUAAAGCGUACGUAGGCGGUUAUUCAAGUCAGAGGUGAAAGCCUGGAGCUCAACUCCAGAACUGCCUUUGAAACUAGAUAGCUAGAAUCACGGAGAGGUUAGUGGAAUUCCGAGUGUAGAGGUGAAAUUCGUAGAUAUUCGGAAGAACACCAGUGGCGAAGGCGACUAACUGGACGUGUAUUGACGCUGAGGUACGAAAGCGUGGGGAGCAAACAGGAUUAGAUACCCUGGUAGUCCACGCCGUAAACGAUGAUAACUAGCUGUUCGGUCUCUACGAGACUGAGUGGCGCAGCUAACGCAUUAAGUUAUCCGCCUGGGGAGUACGGUCGCAGAUUAAAACUCAAAGGAAUUGACGG
rnacentral:rRNA from 1 species